GGGGUAGGGUGGAGGAGGGUAGAAAAGAGGGAGACAUUUCUCAGGCCCUGUUCUGAGCUGCCAGUUAAAAAUAGAAACCAUUCAUUGCGGUCUGCUGGGGGUAGCUGUGGGCCCAGGCUCUCCAAGUUCCCGCGGAACGCGAGCGAUACCAAACUCUAAUCCAUCAAUCGGCAAGGUCGACGUGAAAGGCCAAGACCCGGCCCCACUGUCGGAUCUGUGACUUGUCUGGACAGAGCGGUGGGAGCAAGGCCUGGAGAACCGAGGGAUGUUUUGCUGGAAAGCCGCCCCUCUCCGCCCCUCACAUCCUAGGAUGGACCAGGAGACCACUCCCAGGCUGUGGUCCUCCUCAGGGCCAGGCCCCUUCCCAGUUUUAUUUCCUGCUGACAACCAGCAUCAGCACCCCCAGACCUAAAAGGCCCCCAGGUAGCAUGGCCUCUGGGAGGACAGAGUUGCCCUUCUCCCCAAGCGGCCCUUCAGCCUCCCCUGCCUGUCCCUGCGGCUCAGCCCAGGGCCAGAGCGGGAGAGGAGCGCCAGCGGCCACAGCCACCCGCCCAUCACCAUCAGCUUCAGCCAGCAGAGCCCUGCGCGCUGCUGGGGGAUCCUCUGGGGG
ensembl:lncRNA